GUCGAUGAACUCAAAAACAGAGAUAUUAACAAAAAGUGACUUCUUAUAAAUUGAAGUGAAGAUGACAGGGUUCUGUCAGUUUGGUUUUUACCAGUAGAGAGAUAAAGUUUAGAUUUUCAGAGAGAGAAAAUGGAGACAGAAGAAAGAUCGUUCUUUUAAUUUUUAAUUUUGUUGAGUAAUAAUUCACCAAUUGUUUGUUUUUUCUCUUUAGGGAAGUGAACUGGGUUCUGAUUUGUGUUUUUUAUUUUUUUUAAAUUUGGCGAAAAGUUUCGGUCCUCAAGAACAUCUCUCCUUUUCGGUUUUGUGAUUUGCGGGCGAAGUUUUUGAUCCUUUGAGAUCAGUGGAAAUUCUCGAUUUUGUCACGAGUUCGUGGCUUGUUUCUUUAAAGGAAAAUGGGGUUUUGAAAAGAAGUUCUAAAAGUUAAAGAUUAAGCAAAAUUUGGUGUUUCAAGUCUUGAUUUGUGAUUCUUUUGGUUGAGGUAAUAUAAAUUUUUGGGGCUUUACUGGUUAAACAUUAGUUUCGAAAUGAUGAAAGCUGUUUAGGCUUCUGGGUGUUUCACUUCCCUGGUGUUUGUGAUACACAAUUAAGUGCUAAAGUUUUGAUUUUGAAAGAGCUUUCUGAAAGUUCCAUUUCUAUUGCUGUUUCUAUUUUCAUGGGUUUCUAAUUAUGGUAACUUUGCUGAACUGAAGAAACAGUAGACUGAUUUUUGUUGAUGACCCACUAAUUGGAUAGUGUUGUAGGGCUGAUAAUUUUUUUCUGAACAAAUCUUAAAAGGGCCAUUUUUUUGGUAGGUGGUUAUUUUGCUUUAAAGCUCUUUUUGGAAGGGUUUGGCUUUUCUUAAUUGCUUUAAUUUGAGAGAUUAAUGGGUUUGAUGGGUUAAAAUUCAUAUCUUAAUUCUUCCUUGAAUAUUGAUAAAUUCUUUUUUUGGUUCUAUUAGUAUUAUAUAGAAAAAUGAUCCCUGCAUAGUCUAGUGGUUACUGCAAAAGGCAGGAGCUACUUUGCAAAAUUCAAUUCUUUUUGGGAAAAAUGGCAGUUUCUUUGACCCGUUUUCCAUGGUGGAUAUGGAAUGGCAAAGAGAAAGACUCUGUUUCAAAUGGGUCGUCUUUGAAUUCAUCUACUACUGACUGGAGUUCUGGAUUGAGAGAACUUGAUUCUGUUAAAUUUACUACAAAAAAUUUAGCCUCAGCAAGAAAAGUUAAGAGGAAAUGGCAUAGCCGAGAAGAGAGGAGAGUUGAUAAACAAUAUGGAGAUGCUGUUGUUGUGCCAUCUGAUGGUGGGAUUUGCUUGUCAGGGUCAGAAUCUGAUGGCCCUGAUUGGUCCAUAGGAUGGGUGGAGCCUCAUGGACUUGAGUUUAGAAGUGAUGAUGAGACUGAUGAUGGUUUUGCUGUGCUGGUUCCUUGCUACAGGCCUGGUUGUAAGGAAUUGGUGGAGAAUUCAAAUAACCAGCUUUUAAGUGCUAUUAAGAAUUUACCAAAUGAGUUCUCUUCUGUCUAAAGGCGAAUGAGGUGGUCAUUGUCACUGCUUAUUAUAGAAAUGAAAUUGAAGUCUGGCUACCUAUUGAAUACGGCUCAAGAGAGGUAGUAACUGCUUUGGGAAAUUGAUUGACAAGUUGUUUUAUGAUAACGGCGAACUGGAUGGGUGGUAGGGAGGCCUCACAUGGCCAACUGAUUAAUAAUACUGUCGUACUAUUCCUAAACGCAAGUUGUGUUGUGCUCUAGUCUUCGAAGAUAUUAUUUGGACCAUAUUGGCUUAUGGAGAAACAGUCUGUACUUCUGCUGAUUCACUUUAGAGGGGAAGAAUUAUAUGGAGUGGCUCUCUUCUCUCCAAAAUUUCUGAAGCCUAACCGGGCUGGGCAGCUCGGCGGAACAGCAGCCAUUGCGUCAUGUGAUAUGUCUCAAUUACCUACCCUGUUAUAGUGUAUCAAACUUAAUUGAGGAAUUAUAGAUAACAUGAAUUAUGUCUUA